CUAUACAUGCAAGUCGAGCGAAUCUUUAGGAGCUUGCUCCUGAAGGUUAGCGGCGGACGGGUGAGUAACACGUGGGCAACCUGCCUGUAAGACUGGGAUAACUUCGGGAAACCGGAGCUAAUACCGGAUAAUCCUUUUCCUCUCAUGAGGAAAAGCUGAAAGUCGGUUUCCGCUGACACUUACAGAUGGGCCCGCGGCGCAUUAGCUAGUUGGUGAGGUAACGGCUCACCAAGGGGACGAUGCGUAGCCGACCUGAGAGGGUGAUCGGCCACACUGGGACUGAGACACGGCCCAGACUCCUACGGGAGGCAGCAGUAGGGAAUCUUCCGCAAUGGACGAAAGUCUGACGGAGCAACGCCGCGUGAGCGAUGAAGGCCUUCGGGUCGUAAAGCUCUGUUGUUAGGGAAGAACAAGUACCGGAGUAACUGCCGGUACCUUGACGGUACCUAACCAGAAAGCCACGGCUAACUACGUGCCAGCAGCCGCGGUAAUACGUAGGUGGCAAGCGUUGUCCGGAAUUAUUGGG
rnacentral:rRNA from 1 species